AGAGUUUGAUCAUGGCUCAGAUUGAACGCUGGCGGCAUGCCUUACACAUGCAAGUCGAACGGCAGCGCGGGAGCAAUCCUGGCGGCGAGUGGCGAACGGGUGAGUAAUAUAUCGGAACGUGCCUUAGAGUGGGGGAUAACUAGUCGAAAGACUAGCUAAUACCGCAUACGACCUACGGGUGAAAGUGGGGGAUCGCAAGACCUCAUGCUCUUAGAGCGGCCGAUAUCUGAUUAGCUAGUUGGUGGGGUAAAAGCCUACCAAGGCGACGAUCAGUAGCUGGUCUGAGAGGACGACCAGCCACACUGGGACUGAGACACGGCCCAGACGCCUACGGGAGGCAGCAGUGGGGAAUUCUGGACAAUGGGGGCAACCCUGAUCCAGCAAUGCCGCGUGUGUGAAGAAGGCCUUCGGGUUGUAAAGCACUUUUGUUCGGAAAGAAAUCGCUCUGGCUAAUACCUGGGGUGGAUGACGGUACCGGAAGAAUAAGCACCGGCUAACUACGUGCCAGCAGCCGCGGUAAUACGUAGGGUGCAAGCGUUAAUCGGAAUUACUGGGCGUAAAGCGUGCGCAGGCGGUUGUGCAAGGCAGAUGUGAAAUCCCCGGGCUUAACCUGGGAACUGCAUUUGUGACUGCACGGCUAGAGUGU
rnacentral:rRNA from 1 species